UACAUAGGGUGCAAGCGUUGUUCGGAAUUAUUGGGCGUAAAGGGCGCGUAGGCGGUGCUGUAAGUCUGUAGUGAAAUCUCUGGGCUCAACUCAGAGUCUGCUAUAGAAACUGCAGUGCUGGAGUGUGGGAGAGGUGAGUGGAAUUCCCGGUGUAGCGGUGAAAUGCGUAGAUAUCAGGAGGAACACCGGUGGCGAAAGCGGCUCUCUGGCCCGGAUCUGACGCUGAGGCGCGAAAGCGUGGGGAGCAAACAGG
rnacentral:rRNA from 1 species